ACUCCUACGGGAGGCAGCAGUGGGAAUAUUGCAACAAUGGGGAAAGCCCAUCGAUGCAGCCAUGCCGCGUGUGUGAAGAAGGCCAUUCGGGCUUGUAAGACACUUUCAGCGAGGAGGAAAGGGUGUGUGCUAAUACCAUACAUCUGUGACGUUACUCGCAGAAGAAGCACCGGCUAACUCCGUGCCAGCAGCCGCGGUAAUACGGAGGGUGCGAGCGUUAAUCGGAAUUACUGGGCGUAAAGCGUGCGCAGGCGGUUUGUUAAGCGAGAUGUGAAAGCCC
rnacentral:rRNA from 1 species